ACUAUCCAAAAAAGAAUAACUAUCCUAAGUUUAAGAAUAAUCCAUAAGCCUUACGAAAAUCCGUAAAGCUUAUGGGUAGCGUACGGAAAGCCGCAAGGCUUAUGGGUUAUUCUUAAACUUAGUUUAUGGAUACCUAUGC
rnacentral:pre_miRNA from 1 species